AGGCAAGGUUUUCAUGAAUGACUAACAGAGCAGAUGCUGCAAACAAGCUAGGAGCUUCUGUUUGCUGCCCUAUUAAGAGCAGUGACUCAUUUUGGCAUGACGUCAAAGCUAUGAAAACAAAAGAGAAUUUAAAACCAAGUAUCAUGGUCCAAGAAUCUCAGCAUCUGCUAUAACAUGAACAGAAGUUUGGCCAAAACUAAUUUUUGACUGGUUGGGAAAUUGGUGAUGGAAAACUCCAGCCAUAUCUUUCUGGUGUGAAGACAUGAGUAACUCUUCUAUUUUUCUCUUAGAGAACUCCCAUAACAAGGAACUGCCCAAAUAGCUGCUGAUGGAUGAGAAAAGGCAACACAUAAAAGUGCUUUUGAAAAUCAAAGACAUAGCUCCUUCUACUGCUCUCCACCCAGAGUUAAAAUGGCUUUGUUUUUUUAAUGGUGCAGUCUACUUAUGAAAUGGGAAGAGAAGUUCAACUGGACCAGAGGUUGGUGAACUCAUUGCUGAAGAUUCAACACAGGAAACAAAACAUGCAGUCAAAGAUAGUAGAGAAGACAGAACUAACAGCAAUGUGGCCUGGGCAUUUUUUAGCUCAAACUGAAAGAUUGGCAGAAAAGAUUUAAUAAAGGCAGAUGUGUUUCUUUCACUG